UUGGCCGCUUGCUCCUGAGCAACGCAAAGCGCCCACUUUGCUCAAGAAAAAGAAAAAAAAACGCAAGGCGCCCACUCGGCUUCCGCUAAAUUCGCUCGCUCGGCUCGCCUCCUGAUCGUAAAUUCGUAAGUCGUAACGCAAGGCUUGAAGCCCUAACUGGCGCUCGAGUGUGGCGACAGUGUCGACGACGGACGGCGAAAGCCCUACCAGGCGACGGCGACGAGCGGAGGGGAUCAAGCGGCAGUUCACGUCACCUCGUGCGAAGUCCUACCUGGCUAGGUGAUCAACCAUCAGCCUCCGUGGCAGGUGUUCCGUCUUAUGCUCUCAUGGAGGAUCCACAUUCACUAGAAAUUGAUGUUGUUGGUGGUGAUCGACCAGAAGAGGAACAACAAAUAGCACAAGUUGGGUCAGUAGAGAAUAAAGUACCUAAUGAGAAGGUGCUUGAUAAAUCUAAACAAAAUUUGACCACACCUGAAGUUGGAAUGAGUUCUGAAUAUGAGAAAAAGGCUUAUGAGAUGUACAACACCUAUGCUGAACGGGUUGGGUUCAAUGUUAGAAGAAGCAAGACAAAGCACCGCCUAGAUGGCAGUUUACGUCAGAAACAUCUAGUUUACUGUUGCCAAGGAUAUCGAGAAAAUGAUUCAUCACAAAAGAAUAUUACAAUGACGGGUUGUGAUGCUCGUGUUCAGUUUAGCAUCAGCAGAGAGGGGCUUUGAAGUGCAAAAUCAUAAAUAUAUGUAUCUGUGCUCUUUUGAUGUUAAGGGAACCAGUCAUCUUUUAUCAGUCUGACAAUUUCUAAAAUAUGAAACCUGAUGGCAACAUUUCAUGUCCUGUGGAUUUACUCCUUUUAGUAAA